rnacentral:rRNA from 1 species
AACAUGUUUUUUUGAAAAUAAUUUAAAGUCUAAUCUGCCCACUGAUNAAAUUAUUAAAGGGCUGCAGUAUUUUGACUGUACAAAGGUAGCAUAAUCAUUAGUCUCUUAAUUGGUGACUUGUAUGAAAGAUUGGAUGAAAUAUAUACUGUCUCUAUUUAAUUUAUAAAAUUUAAUUUUUUAGUAAAAAAGCUAAAAUGAAUUUAAAAGACGAGAAGACCCUAUAGAGUUUGAUAAUUUAUUUAAUUGUUAAUAAUAUAUAAAUUUUAAAAUUAAGAUUAAAUAAAUUAUUUUAUUGGGGUGAUAGAAAAAUUAAAUUAACUUUUUUUUUAUUUUAUACAUUAAUUUAUGAAUAAAUGAUCUAUUAAUAAUGAUUAAAAGAAAAAAUUACCUUAGGGAUAACAGCGUAAUUUUUUUUUUUAGUUCGAAUAGGAAAAAAAGUUUGCGACCUCGAUGUUGGAUUAAGAUAAAAUUUAAAUGCAAAAGUUAAAAAUUUUAAUCUGUUCGAUCAUUAAAAUCUUA